GCAAACUGUGCACGAGUCAUCGGGCUUAACGAUAGGAAAGGCGAAGUGAAAGUAGAGGUCUGGCUUGUCCGGACUUAGGUGAGUUCCUAUCGUACCUCAUGCGCGGUAUCACCGAACAUCGAGUGACAAGACUAUCACCAGCCCGUCAUAUGGUGUGAUGACCGUAUUCAGAGUUUCUCAUUAAGUUGGAGCGUGGGCUCAAAUGAUGAGACCCGAAAAAUGGUGAACUAUGCUUGCGCAGGUUUCAGCCAGAAGAAAUUCCGGUGAAGGACCACAUCGAUUCUGAUUUGCAAAUCGAUCGUCAGGCGUGAGUAUAGGGGCGAAAUAUUAAUCAAUCCAUCCAGUAGCCGG
rnacentral:ncRNA from 1 species